rnacentral:rRNA from 1 species
CAUAGCGACUAUCGUGGCAUAUCAAUAAGCGGAGGAAAAGAAACUAACAAGGAUUCCCCUAGUAACGGCGAGUGAAGCGGGAAGAGCUCAAAUUUGAAAUCUUAAAGGGUUUCCCUUUACGAAUUGUAGUUUAAAGAAGUGUUUUCUGUUGGAGUUUCGGUAAAAGUUCUUUGGAAUAGGACAUCAUAGAGGGUGAGAAUCCCGUAUUUGACCGUUACUUUCCAGCUGUGUGAUACACUUUCAAAGAGUCGGAUUGUUUGGGAAUGCAGUCCAAGAUGGGUGGUAAAUUUCAUCUAAAGCUAAAUAUUGGCGAGAGACCGAUAGCGAACAAGUACCGUGAGGGAAAGAUGAAAAGAACUUUGAAAAGAGAGUUAAACAGUACGUGAAAUUGUCAAAAGGGAAGCGUUUGACACCAGUGUUGUUUAGUUGAAAAUCAAUUCAAUAGUUUUUGAUUCUAAGUAGUAUUGACUUCAUCAGCUUGCUGCUUUCUUCUCAGAAAUUAUUGAAUGCACUUUUCAGUUAACAAGUCAACAUCAAUUUCUUUUGUUGUAAAAGGGUAAGAGGAAGGUGGCUUACGCUUCGGCGUAAGUGUUUAUAGCCUUUUACCUCUGCAAUCGGAGAGAUUGAGGUACAUGCAGCGUAGACUCCUUCGGGGCUAGAUACACUUUGUGCUAAGUUAUAGCUUGUCAUAGACAACUUGUUGACUAUGUUCAGUCAUUGUAGCUUACUCGCAUGCUGCUAUUUUACCUACGCUUAGGAUGUUGAUAUGCAUGACUGAUAU